AAAGAAGACGCUUAGAGCUAAAAGCAGAGAGAAUCUCAAAGGACGCUUUACAGUCAGUUUUAGAAGGUGUUACAUAUAGGUCUAAAGUAGGUUUGGAUGAUGCUGAAGCUGAUUUGGAGGACAUCGGUGUUGUUCCCUUGAAACCAUCACCAGAGAUUAGCUCCCUCAUGUACUUUGACUUAGAAACAACAUGAUUCCAACGAACAUCAGACAUUGUUAAAAUUGCUGCUAUUUGUGGUGAAAAAUCCCUCAACAUUCAUAUGAAACCAAGCAAAAGAAUUUCAGAGGGUGCUUCCCAAGUAACAGGAUUGACAUUUGAAGGUCGAAUUCUGAAACGUCAUGGACAUCCUGUAGAGUCUGUCAGUGCUGAAGAUGUUCUCAGGCGUUUCACACAGUUUGUUGCAUCAUGUGCUAAACCAUUUUUGAUUGGACACAACAUUCAAAAUUUUGAUGUACCAGUUUUGAUGCAUAAUUUAAAGGAUAUGACAUGUUGAAAAAUUUCCAGAAUGAAAUUAUAGGGUCUAUUGAUACUUAUGAAUUAUCAAAGAAAGUGUUUGAUAAGGCAAGUGUGUCUAAUUUUAAGCAAGAGACACUAGUGAAAAGUAUCUUAGGGGUAGAUUAUGAUGCACAUAAUGCCAUGUUUGAUGUUUCCAGUUAACAGCUUUAUGAGAAAAUUUUGGCUGUAGAGUGUGAUUCUUCUGAUGUUUUUAGCUUGGCAUAUUAUGAUGUAAAAUCAUCACUUCAACCUCUUGUUUGUAAGAGUGUGAGUUCAGGUCUCAUGUUCAAAAGACUUGUUUUCUAUUUACUCAGUAUAAAUAAGCUGAAGCUUUUACAUUAAAGAGACCCCCAUAAUGGUAUUAGGAAUGUUUUUAGCGAGUCCGUGUCAGGGUCAAAGAAGGCACGUAUUACUAAAUCAAAUUAUGUGAUAAACAAGGUUAUAGACUUCUUAAAUUCUUGUUAAAAGAAAGGGGAUCAACUGUUUUUCCCUUUGUAUAUGUGUUUCUAUGCAUCUGACUUUCUGACAUUUUUUCAGUUUGCAGGGGUAUCACGUGAGCAUUGUCAUUUUGUUCAUUACAGUACAUUAGGCAUACAUGUAUAAGUAUUGAUAGAUGUAACAACUUUGUCUAUGUCUUGUUCUGGUAAUAGUAGAACUAGUAAUGUACAUGUAUAUGUAUUGUUUGUAUUUGACUGCAUGCCUGAGAAUGUUGCUUUGGUUUAGGCAUAUUUGUACAUGUAUGAAAAUGUUUCAAUUAUUGACGAGUUGUCAAAAAUGCAUUUGAAUG